AGUCGCGCGAAGCCAGAGAGGACCCUGGGCGUGAUUCUCCCUCCCUGGCACAGACGGAGACCCGAGUGACCCCGGGGUCCGGGUGGGCGUGGGGAAUGGACCCAUAGACCCGGGACGAGCGGCGCGGAGCCCGCAGCUGGCCAGCUUCAGCCACCUUGGGAGACGCAGUGCAGCUGCCGCUGCUGACAGACAAGACCAAGGCUCGGCUGGGCCCCACCCCAGAUCCGGCCUGAGCGCCUUCCGCGCUGCUCGGCCUCAAGGCGUGAGUCACCAAGGGCAAGUCCCGUGACUUGGUCCUCAGGGUCUCCGGCCUCGGCACAUUAAUCUUCAGACCCGGCUUUUUCGACGCCGAGCUGCCGCCCAGCCCCAAUGGCAGGGCCUUCCAGGGAGUCCCAGUCAGACUGCUCCCCAGCUCCCGCAGCUGCUCGGUCCCUGCAAAGCCCCCGGGAGCGUUUCUACUCUCCCCUGAGCCCACGCCAUCCCGUCACUCCUAGGAAACUUUUCGCGCAGAAACUCCUGGAGAACAGCCCCGGCCGCCAGGUACUCGCCCGCCCGGACCGCAAAGCCCACAGAGCUUCAAUUCGCAGGAAGGGGAGUGGGGAGCCCUGAGCUGGGGUGUUCCUGGAAGAGGUCGGGGAGCGGGGGGAGAGGCAUUCCAGGCUGGAGGCCUGGAAACGUUUGGAAGCUUUGCUAACCUUGGAGACCAUGUCAGGAAAGAAGCGUACCCAGGCCGUCUGCUGUGUGCCCACCCCGAUCCCCAUCAGUGCCCCACGCACUCGAGCUCUUCUUCGGCGUCUGCAGCCUCUUCAUCCGCGCGGAGAGGCGGAGGUCUCCCGGAAACAGUGUCCGACUGUGGCACCCCAGAGCGUCCAAUGCGAGCUCAGGCCUUUCCCGCAAGUCUGGAGUUUUCUUAUCCAGUUGAGGCCGCCUUCGCUGUACUCACUCUCUGCCUCCCACCCCAUCUUCUGCCACCCGACCUCCAUCUUUGAUGGUUAGCGCCUUCAGCCCUCAACAGCUUCGCACAACCAACCCCUAGAAGCCGUGGAGUCAGACCGGCCAGGGUGGGACCUAGGUUUUAACUCGGGUUCUGGCUACACACGCUGCGCCUCCAUACAGUUUGUCCCAGGUUUGGCAGCAGGCCGGCUACCUUCAGGAAUUCUUUGCUUUGGCUUCUGUCUGUUCCUGUCUGUUGGGCAAGUUUCUAGCUACCCCACUGAGAGAACCAUAGAACAAGGACCCUGGCAUGGCAUACAGACAAGGAAUGUUUGCUGAAUUAAUGGAGCUGGUGCCUUGCAGCUUCCCUUUUGUUCCUUGAAGUUGCCCUUGCUCUCCUCCACAUCAGCUCCCUCUCCUCCUCAGCUACUUAUUCCCCACCCUGGCUUCUUCUAGUCGCAGUCCCCAAGUACUUGCUGAAUCCUGUAUGGACAGCCUAAGCCUCCAUUUCUGACAAUUCCUGUGGCCCCACUCCAUUUGUUUUUUAGACUUCUCCCUCCUUUUUGUCCCCAUCCCCCAAGUUAUAAAACUAUAAUG
rnacentral:lncRNA from 1 species